rnacentral:lncRNA from 1 species
AUGAUAGCUUCCAAUUUGCUUUACAUUAAGCGGUGGACUCUGAUGCCAGGACGAAAAAAUAUUUUGGUUGCUGACAGAAAAAUGUCUUCAUUUCAGUUCAGUUUGAGACGGUUUAUCACUGAGAGACUAGCUGCUGUUGCUGAUGAAAUCUCCUCAGAAGUUGAAAAAAGGAUCCUCCAGUAUCAGAAGGAGAUCAGUAGUCACCAACUGCUGAAGGUUACCCGGAAACCAGAGAUAAGAGGACACAUAAUAGAUCUCACACAGCAUGACAGUAAGGAAGAGGAGGAUCUGGGUUUCCAGCAGCUUCGUGACCAGAAGGGAAACUCCAGUCGACACCAGGAGGACCCAGAGCCUCCACAGAUUAUACAGGAUAAGGAAGAACUCUGCACCAAUCAGGAGAGAGAGCAGCCUGUGCUGAAGCAGGACAAAGGCAUCGUCGUCUGGACUGAGGAAUGGCAGUUAAGAUUGCUGGAAAACAUCUGGAAACCUGAACUCAACUUACACAGAACAGACCCCCCACAAGAGCGUGUCUGUAAGGAAAAGAUGGGCCCACAUGUACAACAGCUCUGUAACCAUGAAUUGAGGUCCAGUCUGUACCAGGAGAAACCAAAACGGCCACAAAUGAAAAAGAAACAGAAAGAACUUCGCACCAGUCAGGAGGGAGAGCGCUUUGCAGUGAGGCAGCCAACUUCUACCUUUAUGGUGACUCCUACUUACAAAGAACGCGAUCGCAGAGAUGAAGAGCAAAACUGUAACCAGGCCCUGUCUGGAAAACCUCCCGAACCAGAGAGCCGAAAAAAGAAAAAAAGCAAGUCUGUGGGCUCGGCAUCAUCUCUAAAUGCAGAGCUGAAGAAAAGAAAACGUGACGGAAACAGAAGUCAGAGCAGCAGAGUGGAAAAUGCUCCUAUGUCAGAGAGUCAGAGUAAAGCUGAUGCGAGUGAAAAGUCUGCAAAAUGUGCUGUGAAAAAGCUUUUUGGUGUGAAGCUAAACUGAUAAUACAUCAGUGAGUCUACUCUGGUGAGAAGCAUUGUUGAUGCAGCACCUGUGGAAGAGAAUUCAGUAAAGAGUUCAAACUUGAACUUGAAAAGACACACGAGAGCUCACAAAGAGGAGCAGUGAUAUGUUUGUAGCACCUGCGGGGAAGAGGUGAGAGGGCGGGUCAGAUGUGAAACACCCAAUGGAAAACAUGACCCCAUUUUCAGGUCAUUAUGAUAUCUUGUCCAUCCAGAUCAUUUGUUUUUUAUUCCAUUUAUUUCAUUCCACAAUUUCGUUCUGCUGCCUAUUAGUCUUAUUUGUUCUUAAAAGUUGUUCCAGUCUGUAUCAUAGUUCCUGUUUACCUGUCCCAGCUGCAGCGCUUUAAUUAAUGAGUGCAGCUCCAGCUUCAAAAUACAUGAAAAAUAUAGCAAUAUUGAACUUUUAAUGUGUUUCUAAGCCUUUUGCUAAUCAAAUCAGUUAUUAAUAUUUAAUUUAAUGCCAUUAGCAUACUUGUUUGGCCUCCUGUCUGAAUAUCUGUAAUCUGCAUUAGUUUAAUGUUUGCACCUUCAGGCAUGCAUUCAAGUAGUGUAUGUCAACAUGGACUUUCACAGAGAGACAGACAGUAUGUAAAGGAUGUUUCUUUGAAUUUCAAAUAAAUGUGAUUUCAUUUAUGAUACUUUUAAUAAAGGAAACCUGUUUGACUCCUUUGUAAUCUUGUAGAGUAGCUUUGCGAGAUAUCAAAGUGAUUUUCAAGUUUUCUAGUACUGGGUCAUUGAAUCAAAUCUUGGGGUACAGCAACAGAGAGGCACGAGCCUUUGGAGAAACUGCUUUGUAUUUUCUUAUGAUAAGCUGACCACAGACUCUGAUUGUUGCAGUGACCGUUGUUCUUGAGCCUGUGAACAACCAUCCUGUAAAAUGACUCUUCUAAACAUAUUCUUUGCUGUCUGUGAUAAUAUACAAAACCAAUCACAACGAGGCAAUUAACAAAUAAAGACCUGGAAGUGGAGAAAGAGACCCGGAGGCCAUCACACACACACGUGAUGUAAACAUAUGUACGACUAAACAGUAAAAGUCAGCGCAGACAGCUGUUCAUCACAUUACUUUUUUAAGUCCACUUGUACAUAUUAUGUUUAGAAUGAGGUGGGAAUAAAACCUUUAAAGACUUUAAUCAGCCCACUCCUGCACCCU